CCCCCCCCCCAAAUAGGGCUUAGACCCACCUCUGGGUAAAGUAAAUCUUUCAAAUUUCUUCUUGUUUAACUAAGUGAAAGUAGGUUCAUCUUUUUAAAGUGAGGGCUGUUGUUAAAUGUCACACAUAAUCAAUUAUGUAAGAUGAUGUGUUGUUUUUUAUCUUGUUUUUCUAGCAAAUGAGUGAAUACUGGGGCCUGUACUACGAAGCGGGGUUACUGGCUAAUCGGGGUAACUUGUCGGAUUUAAGGUAGUCUGGGCAAAACGUAAGUGAACGAAUAUGAAGCCCAUUUAAGCUGUGGUACCUUAAAUCCGACAAGUUACCCGGAUAAGCCAGUAACCCCGCUUCGUAGUACAGGCCACAGGUCACAUUAAUAUAUAAACGAGGCAUGUAAACAAAGACUGAGCCGCUCAGUGGAAGCAGCCACCUUCCUGUCCCAGGACAGGAAGUGAAGAAGAAUGGAGAGGUUUUCUAUACGCCACAAGUCUCCUCAGUCUUUCCAGUCCCGUGAACUAAUUUGACAGCUCCUGGCUUCAGAGAGGCAGGUACCCCAGGGCGAGCAGCUGCACCGUGCAUGCUUACACGUUUGGCCUCUUUCCCUGCUGGGUGUCAUCUGUCUCCUUGGUCCUGCGCUGGAUCAUCUCUGUCCUCCUGACAUCAUCUGCCUGAGCGCGUUCUGCCUGCUGGGGCCCGUCUGUCCAGGUUGUGCUUCAAACGAGGCCAGACCACGUCUAAUCUGACGAGACGGCACUCCAAAUACCACCGCCCCGGGCCGGGGCCCCCUCUGCCUGGUGCUGGAAAUGGCAGCCCACUCCCCCCGUCACGGGGUCCUGCUGCCGGCGUUCCUGUCACUCUGGCCCGGGCCGUCCGCACUUCUGCGCCAUCGCAGAUGUCAGUCUGCCGGGCGACAGCGUGUAGAAGCUCUGCCUCAACAGGUCUGGCCAUUCCUGCCCACUGGCAGCAAUUGGCUGGGCUGAAGCCACGAUUGCAGGGGAUGAUCUUCAGCUGGGGCCUCGGGGAAUGAAUGGCAGUGCGUCGAAAGUUAAUCACAGCAGGGAACAGCACUGCGCUGCCAGGAAGACUGGCGGCUUUUAUCCCAGGAAACUGCACACAUGGGUUCAAUGCCGGACUCGGGUCCCUACGCCGGAUACAGGAGCUGUAGCGGCAUGCGGGGGGCAGGGAUGCCACAGAAAGGUGGGGUGUCAGCAUGAUUAACCCCCCCAGGUGGACAGCAUGAGGCUAUGAGUAAUUCAAAGUCAGUCAGUGGGGGUAUGUUCAAUUAUGGGAUGUCUUACAAGGCAAACACAAUGAUACACAUCGGGUCUCAUCUGCAACUGAAAUGAGCAAGGAAUCAGUCAUAUGGCAAGUUGCUUUAGCUUUCAUUCAUUUUUAGAGGAUAUCACAUAUUCAAUUUUAACUUUAAACAAAAAUUUCAUAUUAGCUAGUGAGCUUCAAAACAUUUUUCUCAUUCAUUUCAAUGAGAGCUGGAAUUUAACAGGAAUUUAGUUGUAACUAGUUAUAAUUCAGUUUUUGCUAGUUAAAAUACCAGUUUCUGAUAUCAUAUAGCAAUUGUGAUAUCAAAAUACAGAAUUAAAUCACAUUAUAACUAGUUAUAAUUGAAUUUCUGAUAUCAAGAAUUUGAAUUCUAACUAGUUAGGAAUGAAUUAGUGAUAUUCUCCAGAAAUUAAUUAGAGCUAAAACCGCUUGCCAUACAUUCAUGGCCACAAGGGGGAGUACGUGAGAAACUCCUGCGGGUUUCCACAAGUGACUGUUCAGGCAUCCAGGGAGAGGCCAGUCUCUGCGUGUGACAGAGCAAAAAAGGCUCAUUUGGGACCAUGAGGACAAAAGAGCCUCACAAAUCUGGCUUAUUCCUCCUGGCCCUUUCACCAUAAUAAUUAUAUACAAAAUCUAGGAAAGAGCAUUAAUUGACAAUGGUAUCGAGAAUAAAUCAUAAAAUACUUUUUUUUGGAAUUAAGUUUACAUUCCCAUUUCUUUCCAAUGUGUCAAUUAAGAUUAACUUUUUAAGAUGAAUUUUAUAAAUCCCAUGAAUGAACAUUUCUGAGAUUUAUGUAUUUUGUAAUUGUCUGUAAUAUGCAAUCUUAGAACAUCACAACGUGAAAAUAAAAUUCACCUUGCAGAUA